UAGCCGUUAUGCAACUAGCCGUUGUCUGUAAGACAUGGAGGAAAGAAAACAAGAUGAGGUGGCUGGAGGAGGGUAGAGACGGAGAGGGCUUGUAACUUCUAAAGGAAUGUGAGUUUUUAGGGUUUUUGCAGCGCAGCGUAUGCCGUUCGCGUCUUUUAUCCGGGAUCAGGGUCAUCGCUGAUCGUGUUUGGGCCGGCCCCCACAUGCUCUGCUUCAGCCAUUUCCCAAAGCAUUUUCAGCAACUUCAAGCAUGUGCAAGUUGGUGUUUGAUAUUGUCAAAUAAGUGUCAACAAAUGAAGGGUAGAAUACAUGUUGUAAAUAUAGGAGUGUUGGUGGUAUGACGUAUGGCAAUGCCUGAAAUUGAAACUGCAGUGUCUUCAUCCUAGCUGAGGAUAAAGGCAGUCCAGAAUAAUCAUAUCCACUGAAGAGUUGUUUUACCUAUGCACCAGGAACAUCACUAACAUGCAAGGAUUUUUAAGGUAUAGUGUGUAUAGCAUUCCAACGCAUAAUCAUAUGAUUACAAUGCAAUAUGUUACUCAAUUAGCCACCCAUCUCUACUAGCAAUAGUUGUUUGUAACAUCCUUAAAGGCUCCCUAGCCUGCAACUUGAGCUUAAAUCUAUUGCAAUUUCAAUAUGAACUAAUACACUCAUGAGUCAUGCUAUAUUCAUUUAUGGGCUCAGCUCAUGUUUGAUU